AAAGUUUAUGACUCUGCACUACAAUAUUAUUUAUUAUUUAAAUUUACAUCAUUAUUAUAAUAUUUAGGGUCAGACUCUACAGUAUUAAGAUUAAGAAAUCAAAUAUUCUAUAAAAUGUAAAUACACUGAACUCAUUUGGAGAUAUUUAAGUGAGACUCGACAAUAUUAUUUGACACAAAUCUAUCUAAAUCAAAAUUAUCAUCAUUUUUAUUCCAAACAUUUACUGGACUGAUUUAAACAUUAAAAUCACUCCUUUCUAAUCCUCUGCUGUACAUUCAAACCUGAGGCCUUAAAUAGAAACACACAAGUAUCUGAUUGAAGGAACUUCUGCAGAGUCCUGGUUCCACAACAUGAUGAUAGAAUUAUAGACAAACUUUAACAAAAGCUGCCUGAGAGUUUACAGGUUUUUAUGUUGGAUUUCUUCAGUAAUUUAAUGAGAGUUUUCAGCAAAAAUCAAGUGUUCAUUUGAUGAACUUCAUUUCCUAAAACAUCCCGAAUUGGAGCUCAUAUCUUUGGCAGCUGUAAAGUUUCUGCUCCUUCAAAGUUCACAACACAAUGAAUGAAUUCCUAAAACACUCUCAAUGCUGUAGAACGUUUGAUGCUGAAGCAGUGACCAGUUUUUCUGUUUCUUCUCUGGAGAUGCACAAUGAGGGACGUCUGCAGCGACUGAGAAAGAGUCUCACCACAUCCUGACAUGAGGAAAAAGACUUUAUUGAAGACUACAAUGAGAAAAACUAUCAGACAGCAGACGGCUGCAUUCAAGAGAGGAAGACCAUCAAACAUCCACGUCAGCUGAUGGAGGUCCAAGAGUCUCACCCAACAAACAACCUACAGAGUGAAGACCUCCAAUCUGAUUGGACGGCCUCCUAUUCAGCCACAUUUUAGGCUGUUAGAUUGUUCCAGAUAAGACAAGUACAAGAUUCUUCAGAGCCGUUCUACCAUGAGCCUGACAGGAAGAACUCCAACAUCUACUGAAUGUUCCUGUGGU
ensembl:lncRNA